GUCUACAGCCGCCUGCCUGAACGCCCGAUCUCAUCUGAUCUCAGACGCUAACCAGGGUCGGGCCUGGAUAGUACUUUGAUGGGAGACCGACUGGGAAUACCGGGUGCUGUAGGCU
rnacentral:rRNA from 1 species